UACGUAGGGGGCAGGCGUUAUCCGGAUUUACUGGGUGUAAAGGGAGCGUAGACGGCAGGGCAAGUCUGGAGUGAAAGGCAGGGGCCCAACCCCUGGACUGCUCUGGAAACUGUCCGGCUGGAGUGCAGGAGAGGUAAGUGGAAUUCCUAGUGUAGCGGUGAAAUGCGUAGAUAUUAGGAGGAACACCAGUGGCGAAGGCGGCUUACUGGACUGUAACUGACGUUGAGGCUCGAAAGCGUGGGGAGCAAACAGG
rnacentral:rRNA from 1 species